AGAGUUUGAUCCUGGCUCAGGAUGAAUGCUGGCGGCGUGCCUAACACAUGCAAGUCGAGCGGUAACAUGAAUAAUUUAUUAUUUGAUGACGAGCGGCGGACGGCUGAGUAACGCGUGGGAACAUGCCCCAAAGUGAGGGAUAAGCUCCAGAAAUGGAGUCUAAUACCGCAUAUGAUCUUCGGAUUAAAGGAUUUAUCCGCUUUGGGAGUGGCCUGCGUACGAUUAGAUAGUUGGUGAGGUAAUGGCUUACCAAGUCUACGAUCGUUAGCUGGUCUGAGAGGAUGACCAGCCAGACUGGAACUGAGACACGGUCCAGACUCCUACGGGAGGCAGCAGUGAGGAAUCUUCCACAAUGGGCGAAAGCCUGAUGGAGCAACGCCGCGUGCAGGAUGAAGGCCCUCGGGUCGUAAACUGCUUUUAUAAGUGAAGAAUAUGACGGUAACUUAUGAAUAAGCACCGGCUAACUACGUGCCAGCAGCCGCGGUCAUACGUAGGGUGCAAGCAUUAUCCGGAGUGACUGGGCGUAAAGAGUUGCGUAGGUGGACAAGUAAGCGAAUAGUGAGAUCCGACGGCUCAACCGUAUGGACUAUUACUCGAACUGCUUGUCUCGAGAAUGGUAGAGGUAACUGGAAUUUCUAGUGUGGGAGUGAAAUCCGUAGAUAUUAGAAGGAACACCAAUGGCGUAGGCAGGUUACUGGACCAUUUCUGACACUGAGGCACGAAAGCGUGGGGAGCGAACCGGAUUAGAUACCCUGGUAGUCC
rnacentral:rRNA from 1 species